rnacentral:rRNA from 1 species
UACGUAGGGAGCAAGCGUUGUCCGGAAUCAUUGGGCGUAAAGCGCGCGUAGGCGGCCCGAUAAGUCCGUUGUGAAAGUCAAAGGCUCAACCUUUGAAUGCCGAUGGAUACUGUCGGGCUAGAGUCCGGAAGAGGCGAGUGGAAUUCCUGGUGUAGCGGUGGAAUGCGCAGAUAUCAGGAGGAACACCAAUAGCGAAGGCAGCUCGCUGGGACGGUACUGACGCUGAGACGCGAAAGCGUGGGGAGCGAACAGG